UUCCAGACUCCUACGGGAGGCAGCAGUGAGGAAUAUUGGUCAAUGGGCGCGAGCCUGAACCAGCCAAGUCGCGUGAGGGAAGGCGGUCCUAUGGAUUGUAAACCUCUUUUGUCGGGGAGCAAAAGACGCCACGCGUGGCGUUCCGAGAGUACCCGAAGAAAAAGCAUCGGCUAACUCCGUGCCAGCAGCCGCGGUAAUACGGAGGAUGCGAGCGUUAUCCGGAUUUAUUGGGUUUAAAGGGUGCGUAGGCGGGUUGUUAAGUCAGCGGUCAAAUGUCGGGGCUCAACCCCGGCCUGCCGUUGAAACUGGCGGCCUCGAGUGGGCGAGAAGUAUGCGGAAUGCGUGGUGUAGCGGUGAAAUGCAUAGAUAUCACGCAGAACUCCGAUUGCGAAGGCAGCAUACCGGCGCCCGACUGACGCUGAGGCACGAAAGCGUGGGUAUCGAACAGGAUUAGAUACCCUUGUAC
rnacentral:rRNA from 1 species